rnacentral:rRNA from 1 species
UACGAAGGGGGCUAGCGUUGCUCGGAAUCACUGGGCGUAAAGGGUGCGUAGGCGGGUCUUUAAGUCAGGGGUGAAAUCCUGGAGCUCAACUCCAGAACUGCCUUUGAUACUGAAGAUCUUGAGUUCGGGAGAGGUGAGUGGAACUGCGAGUGUAGAGGUGAAAUUCGUAGAUAUUCGCAAGAACACCAGUGGCGAAGGCGGCUCACUGGCCCGUACUGACGCUGAGGUGCGAAAGCGUGGGAGCAAACAGG